GAUGAACGCUGGCGGCGUGCCUAAUACAUGCAAGUCGAGCGAACGGACGAGAAGCUUGCUUCUCUGAUGUUAGCGGCGGACGGGUGAGUAACACGUGGAUAACCUACCUAUAAGACUGGGACAACUUCGGGAAACCGGAGCUAAUACCGGAUAAUAUUUUGAACCGCAUGGUUCAAAAGUGAAAGACGGUCUUGCUGUCACUUAUAGAUGGAUCCGCGCUGCAUUAGCUAGUUGGUAAGGUAACGGCUUACCAAGGCAACGAUGCAUAGCCGACCUGAGAGGGUGAUCGGCCACACGGGAACUGAGACACGGUCCAGACUCCUACGGGAGGCAGCAGUAGGGAAUCUUCCGCAAUGGGCGAAAGCCUGACGGAGCAACGCCGCGUGAGUGAUGAAGGUCUUCGGAUCGUAAAACUCUGUUAUUAGGGAAGAACAUAUGUGUAAGUAACUGUGCACAUCUUGACGGUACCUAAUCAGAAAGCCACGGCUAACUACGUG
rnacentral:rRNA from 1 species